rnacentral:rRNA from 1 species
AUGGAGCCCCAGGCGAGGACGUCGACGAGGUUGAAGCCGACGGGGUCGUUGGACUUGAGGAUGCCGGCGAACUCCUUGGCGCGCUCGUCGCCGGCCUCGAAGUGGGUCUUGCCGUUCUGCUCGGGCACCUGCUUCGCCACGUUCUCCCGCUGGAAGUUGAAGAAGACGAAGCGGCCCAUCACCAGCGACAGCCCCGUGCUGAGGCUGAUCACCACCGACGGCUCCAGCGCGGCCCGCGCCGCCACGGACCGCCUCGCCGGCGACGAGGCCCCCCGGAAAGAGACCGCCGCGCGAUGGGACGGCGCCAGGCGGAGCCCGGCAACGGUGGGCGGGGACAGCACGGCGGCGGUCGAGGUGGCCAUGGCCCUCUAG